rnacentral:rRNA from 1 species
GAUGAACGCUGGCGGCGUGCCUAAUACAUGCAAGUCGAGCGAACGGACGAGAAGCUUGCUUCUCUGAUGUUAGCGGCGGACGGGUGAGUAACACGUGGAUAACCUACCUAUAAGACUGGGAUAACUUCGGGAAACCGGAGCUAAUACCGGAUGAUAUUUUGAACCGCAUGGUUCAAAAGUGAAAGACGGUCUUGCUGUCACUUAUAGAUGGAUCCGCGCUGCAUUAGCUAGUUGGUAAGGUAACGGCUUACCAAGGCAACGAUGCAUAGCCGACCUGAGAGGGUGAUCGGCCACACUGGAACUGAGACACGGUCCAGACUCCUACGGGAGGCAGCAGUAGGGAAUCUUCCGCAAUGGGCGAAAGCCUGACGGAGCAACGCCGCGUGAGUGAUGAAGGACUUCGGAUCGUAAAACUCUGUUAUUAGGGAAGAACAUAUGUGUAAGUAACUGUGCACAUCUUGACGGUACCUAAUCAGAAAGCCACGGCUAACUACGUG